ACAAUUUUUCAGAAGUUUAAAAAUAAACUUUUGGGAAAACGUCAAAAUUGUAUCCAAAAUUUUUUUUUUAUAUCUUGUAUUUUGUCUAAUUGAAUAUGGAAAAACUACGGAAUUUAAGAAAACAUAUAACGUCCACAAUACUAAAGAAAAACUACCGCGAUAACUUAGAAGUCAUUAGAGGCCAAAUAAUAACUGAGACAACGAAACGCGUCAACAAUGAGAAGUAUGUCCAUAACUUAAAACCAUGGUGUAGUCAAAGCAUGAAAUCUUUUAAAAAUCAUUUGCGAGAAAAAGAUAAUACCUAUGAAGAAAUACUUAGGCCCAAUACAAUUUUUACAAAGAAUGCAAUAACAUCUUAUUGUGCAACAAGGUCUUCACAUCCCCCGAAUGCACGUGUGGUUUUCUUAACAGGUAAAAAUGAAGGUCUUGACAGUUGCUUACUAUAUGAGGUAUAUGAUAAACACGUACAAACCGAAGAUUUGUCAGACGAUCCUGCCACAAAAACGUUAAAUUCUCAAUGCCAGAAAAGAUCAGGAUAUAUCAAUCCCCAUAUGAUCACUGAGUUUCUUAUAGCUUUGUUCAAAAUAGAUCAAAAAUAAUAGAUUUGGACGGUGUGGUAAUAUAUGCUGCUUACUAUACUCUCUCUAUUUCCUGAAACAUCUUUGACCAGGCGUUCAUCAAAUAGAGAGAGUAUAAAAACAACAUCUGACGGAGCAGCUCAUUUGCAUCACUAGUGUAACCAAUAUGAUUACUAGAGUUGGUUGUAAGUUGGAUAUCCGAUAUUUAAUUUUGAAAUUGAAAAUGUAUAAACAUCAUCUACAUCACCAUAGCAGGGAACAAUUGGAAGAGAUUUGGAUUCAAGAUGGAGUGUACAAUUACAGGAGUAAACCACUGUAUUAUUUAUGACAACGAAAGCAUGGCAUCGGAAAAGGUUGAUGCCAUUGGAUGUUGAAUACAGAAAAGAUGUUUAAACUUUGACAAGUUUUAGAAAUAAGUCGGUGUUGAUACUUGCUUACAACUCUAGUUGCAGCCAUAAGAAUAUCUGAUGUUAUUUCUAGCAGGCACCAGGUUGAUAGCUUAACCACAACGUGGAUUUCUUCAGCCACUAGGACCAUGCAAUACAAACCACCGGCUAUCAUUUGCAUUCAUCCAAUACUAGCACGAGAUAUUUGUGCAAUACAUUUAUCUCCGAGACUUAUUCACGAUUUCAAUUUCCGAGAUGUAUCUGACCGGCAUUAAUUUGCUUUUGUCUGGAACUAAGAUAAACUAUUAUUUACCAUGCCAUUCCAUUUAAUUAACUUUAACACGACCUCGAUUUCCAACAUCUUUCGGAUUGCGUGCACAACACCCACAACAAAGACGACCGGAUUCGUUUUGCAUUUGUUCCGUAGAUAUAAAACCAAUUUAAGCCCUAUAUAGUUCGGUCAACUUUUCCUGUGUCGGUAUUAGAGCCAAAUCUUUUUUUAACCCAAAACCUAUAUUCCAAUAUGACGUCUAGGAUGUGUGUAUACGCUAAUCAAUUAUUUAGGAACACAAAAGAAAAUAAAAAAUUGAACAAUGUUUCUGGAGAAUAUAGAAUAUAUUCUAGAAUAUUGCAGAAACUAUAU